rnacentral:lncRNA from 1 species
UCUGGUUCUCUCUCCCUGCCACAGCCCUUAAGUUCGGGCCUCCACCGCCGCCCCCAUGGCCAGUGGCCGGAGCUGCGCGAAACAGGCUUCUUAGCCCUCCCUUCACGGCGUCCCUGAAGGCUAAGCCUUCUCGACCGCGGGACCGAGAGGGAAAAGGGGACCUUCCUCCCCACUCGACUCCGGUGACGGCGAAGGAGGGCUCUGACUCUCGCCCCCGAAAUCAACAGGUAUUUCUUUUUUUAGUUUCGUUUUCGUUAAGGAAGAUUGUAGAAAACAAACAAAAUAAAAUAAAAUAAAAGGAAAAUAAAGAGAGUGCAAGAACGCCAGAACAGAAAAAAGAAUCGGAAUCAACCUUUUUGAUCUGUUUUUCUUUUUUGAAUUCAAAAUGCUGUGUUUUUUUUUUUUACAGAGAUAUUGUUUUUGCUUUUAUAUCCCAUUUACAUUGUAUUUUAGUUGUGUUCUUUGUAUUAUCCAUUGUGUACUCCGACUUUCUCUGCCAUUUUGCAGGUGUUGAUGGGGCUAGGCACGGUGGGUGGCGAUGGGACAUGGCAGACGGCAGAGGGGGGGAUGCGGCGCUAGGUUUGGCUAGGUGGUUUAGGUUUAGGUGGGCCUUGGGUGUUUUAUUUGGGUUGGUUUUGGGUAGCGGGCCACCGGGUAAAUGGGCCUGCAACACCUGGCUUGAUUUUCUCUACAAC